GGGAGGAAGUGGAGUAGCAAAACCGUUGAGCCUACGAACAGAAACUGGAUACGAGGCUAAAUGGCGGGCGAGAUUGCAUUACAAAUCGAAGCCCAAAAGGUAAACGUAACGCCAAGAGAGUAAAUCCAGAGGUUGUGCGGUGAAAGACU
rnacentral:ncRNA from 1 species